GCUUUGACCAAAUUGCAUCCAUCCUGCUCCCGUCAUUGAUGGUAAUAGCAGGCUUCGCCGGCGACGAAGAUGGGCCUCUGCACCUCUUCCAGCGCUGCCAGCCCCGCUGGCCCCGCGGGAAAUAAAGAGAAGGGGAGGAAGGGCAGCGGCGGGUGCAGGGGGAUCAUUGCGUGCGGGAAGCGGACGGACUUCGGCUACGACAAGGACUUCGAGGCGCGGUACGCACUCGGGAAGCUGCUGGGACACGGCCAAUUCGGCUACACCUUCGCUGCCGUCGACCGCCAGUCCGAUGAGCGCGUCGCCGUCAAGCGCAUCGACAAGAACAAGAUGGUCCUUCCUGUUGCUGUUGAAGAUGUAAAGCGAGAAGUUAAAAUACUCAAGGCCUUACAUGGGCAUGAAAAUGUUGUACAUUUUUACAAUGCAUUCGAGGAUGAUAACUACAUAUAUAUUGUUAUGGAAUUAUGUGAGGGUGGUGAGUUGCUUGACCACAUAUUAGCCAAAAAAGAUAGCCGUUAUAGCGAAAAAGAUGCUGCAGUAGUUGUACGACAGAUGCUCAAGGUUGCAGCUGAGUGCCAUUUGCAUGGUUUGGUUCACCGAGAUAUGAAACCUGAGAACUUCCUCUUCAAGUCAUCAAAGGAGGGCUCCCCCCUCAAGGCUACAGAUUUUGGCCUUUCAGACUUUAUAACACCAGGGAAGCAGUUUCGUGACAUUGUUGGAAGUGCCUACUAUGUAGCACCAGAAGUGCUUAAGCGCAAGUCAGGGCCGGAAUCCGAUGUUUGGAGCAUUGGUGUUAUUACAUAUAUUCUGUUGUGCGGAAGACGACCUUUCUGGGACAAAACUGAAGAUGGAAUCUUUAAAGAGGUGUUAAAAAACAAGCCAGACUUUCGUCGGAAGCCUUGGGCAAACAUUACUCCAAGUGCUAAAGAUUUUGUACAGAAGUUACUAGUUAAGGAUCCCCGUGCAAGACUAACUGCUGCUCAGGCAUUAUCACAUGAAUGGGUCAGAGAAGGAGGGCAGGCAUCUGAAAUACCCCUGGACAUAUCAGUAUUGCAUAAUAUGCGACAGUUUGUGAAAUACAGUCGUUUCAAACAGUUUGCUUUAAGGGCAUUAGCAUCUACAUUAAAUCCAGAAGAACUGUCUGAUCUUCGUGACCAGUUCAAUGCCAUUGAUAUUGACAAGAGUGGAACGAUUAGCCUGGAAGAACUGAAGCAGGUUGGAGUUGGUGGGCGAGUUCAUGUAGGACCAACACAAAUAAACAAAUGCACUUUUACACACAUGGGACUAGAACCUUGGAAGAGAUAUAAAUAAACAAAUGCACUUUUACUCACAUGUCAGACCUACCACAAAUAAACAAAUACACUAUACUAAUUUAAUGUGAGCACCAGUCUUGUGAGAAACACAAGUAGCAAAUGCAGAAAUGUGACUCGAACUCAAAAUCAUGCUCUUGGUUUUAGUUUCUCUUCCCAUCCAAUUUCUUCCAAUUAUACAUCAACUGCAGAGAGAUCUUUCGUCAUAUUUGUGCUCUCUUUUGAUCUUGAAUAGUGCAACAGCAGCAAGACACCAAUGCCUUUUGAUGAUCUCCUAAGAGCAUCUCCAAUAGCUGCCCUAUAAUAGGGCAUAAUCGAUUUUUAGGGCAUUUGGGUACAAAAUCGCUGCUCCAACAGCUGCCCUUGUUGUAAAAUUUGCUCGAAAUUCUUUUGGACAGCCCAAAAAAACAGCACCAAGUGCUGCAAAUAUAAAGCACUUCGGCUGCUGCCACAAAACGGAACGAGUUGCGCGUGCAGCCCCAACCGCCAAUUAAAGUUCCUCCAGUCGCACACUCCUCUCGGCCCCCUCUUUGCCGCCGCCGUUGCCAGCUGAUUCCGGCUAGAUCCGACGCCUCACCGCCCCCUCACCGGCCCGGCUCCCCCUCAGCUUCCCCUACCGAUUCCCGUCCGCCACUGGCCAUCCCCGCCGCCCCGGCGAGCUCGUUCGCCUGUGCUCCCCCCUGCGCGUGGCGCGGGAGCGUGGUGACUCAAUCCCCCAGCCGAUUCUGGCUAGCUCCGACGCCUCCCCACUUUGCCCCUCACUGGCCCGGCUCCCCCUCGGCCUCCCCUACCGAUUCCCCUCCGCCACCGGCCAUCCCCGCCACCCCGGCGAGCUCCUCCGCCUGCGCUCCCCCUGCGCGUGGCGCGGGAGCAUGCGUGAAUCAAUCCCGUCGGCUGUGCCCGCGAGCACCCGUCCGCUGCGGUGCAGCAGAAAGUCCCGGUGCAGCAAAUGCCCUUCUGCCACAUCCCCCGAUGCAGCGGCCUCACGCCACGCACGGCGGAGGCCUUGCACGCCGACAUUGUCCGCGUAAGCUGCAGGUGGAGUAGCAAGUUGUGCGGCUCGCACUCGUCCAUGUGGCUGCAUGAGCUGCAGGUGAAGCUGCAGAUUUGUCUUAGGCGGUGACCGCGGCGAGCUCCAGCUCCCCUCCGCCCACGUGGAUCCAGCUCCAGGCUGCAGCAGCACCAACGCCGACACGUCUGGGGGCCUCCGACGAGGUGUGGCUGCACGAGAAGAUGCGUUGACCGCUGAUCUCGUUUUGCCUUCUCCCAAUCUGAAGCAACACUGAUUCAGGUCAUGCAGAAUCAAAUGAGCUGAUUCAUCAACGCUGAUUCAGUUCGUCAAAUUAUUGCUACACCAAGUAGGAGAUAACCUGGCAGCUAAUCCCUCUAGCUUGUCGUCAGAUGCCAAUCACAUGCGGCUUAAUCAAGAGGACGGCAAUUGUAUAAAUUGUCGCCAAGGAAUACAAGGCUCUUGCAAAGGAUGUUCCAUGGAGAUUAAAGGGUCCUCGUGUUCUUGAAAUUGUUGAGGCGAUUGACAGUAACACUGAUGGAUUUGUUGAUUUCGAAGAGUUUGUUGCUGCCACACUACAUGUGCAUCAGCUGGUGGA